rnacentral:rRNA from 1 species
CGGAUCAGGUAGGGAUACCCGCUGAACUUAAGCAUAUCAAUAAGCGGAGGAAAAGAAACCAACAGGGAUUGCCUCAGUAACGGCGAGUGAAGCGGCAAGAGCUCAAAUUUGAAAGCUGGCCCCCUCGGGGUCCGCGUUGUAAUUUGCAGAGGAUGCUUCGGGUGCAGCCCCCGUCUAAGUGCCCUGGAACGGGCCGUCAUAGAGGGUGAGAAUCCCGUCUGGGACGGGGUGUCUGCGUCCGUGUGAAGCUCCUUCGACGAGUCGAGUUGUUUGGGAAUGCAGCUCUAAAUGGGUGGUAAAUUUCAUCUAAAGCUAAAUACUGGCCGGAGACCGAUAGCGCACAAGUAGAGUGAUCGAAAGAUGAAAAGCACUUUGAAAAGAGAGUUAAACAGCACGUGAAAUUGUUGAAAGGGAAGCGUUUGCGACCAGACUCGCCCGCGGGGUUCAGCCGGCAUUCGUGCCGGUGUACUUCCCCGUGGGCGGGCCAGCGUCGGUUUGGGCGGCCGGUCAAAGGCCCUCGGAAUGUAUCACCUCUCGGGGUGUCUUAUAGCCGAGGGUGCAAUGCGGCCUGCCCGGACCGAGGAACGCGCUUCGGCUCGGACGCUGGCGUAAUGGUCGUAAAUGACCCGUCUUGAAACACGGACCAAGGAGUCUAACAUCUACGCGAGUGUUCGGGUGUCAAACCCGUAC